rnacentral:tRNA from 1 species
CGGGGCGGACGUAGCCAAGUGGACCAAGGCAGUGGAUUGUGAAUCCACCAUGCGCG